rnacentral:tRNA from 1 species
AAGGCCUUAGCUUAAUUAAAGCGUCUGCUUUGCAAGCAUAAGAUGUGGGGUAGUGUCCCGCAGGUCUUA